rnacentral:rRNA from 1 species
CACGUAGGGCGCAAGCGUUGUCCGGAAUUAUUGGGCGUAAAGAGCUCGUAGGCGGUCUGUUACGUCUGCUGUGAAAACCCGGGGCUUAACCCUGGGCUUGCAGCCGAUACGGGCAGGCUAGAGUUCGGUAGGGGAGACUGGAAUUCCUGGUGUAGCGGUGAAAUGCGCAGAUAUCAGGAGGAACACCGGUGGCGAAGGCGGGUCUCUGGGCCGAUACUGACGCUGAGGAGCGAAAGCGUGGGGAGCGAACAGG